UUGAGGCGUGGCUUCCGGAGCUAACGCGUUAAGUCGACCGCCUGGGGAGUACGGCCGCAAGGUUAAAACUCAAAUGAAUUGACGGGGGCCCGCACAAGCGGUGGAGCAUGUGGUUUAAUUCGAUGCAACGCGAAGAACCUUACCUACUCUUGACAUCCAGAGAACUUUCCAGAGAUGGAUUGGUGCCUUCGGGAACUCUGAGACAGGUGCUGCAUGGCUGUCGUCAGCUCGUGUUGUGAAAUGUUGGGUUAAGUCCCGCAACGAGCGCAACCCUUAUCCUUUGUUGCCAGCGGUCCGGCCGGGAACUCAAAGGAGACUGCCAGUGAUAAACUGGAGGAAGGUGGGGAUGACGUCAAGUCAUCAUGGCCCUUACGAGUAGGGCUACACACGUGCUACAAUGGCGCAUACAAAGAGAAGCGACCUCGCGAGAGCAAGCGGACCUCAUAAAGUGCGUCGUAGUCCGGAUUGGAGUCUGCAACUCGACUCCAUGAAGUCGGAAUCGCUAGUAAUCGUAGAUCAGAAUGCUACGGUGAAUACGUUCCCGGGCCUUGUACUCCCCGCCCGUCA
rnacentral:rRNA from 1 species